CAGCCUGGCGCAGGCCCGGCUCCCAGCCAGGGAUGCUCUUAGCUGCAACUUCCACCAGCGACUUCGGGCCAGCGGCUUCCUGUCCUGUGUUCGGCCUCUGUGUUCUCCUCUGUAAAAUGGGGCCGUGAGCACCUGCUCUCCCAGGAAAAGCUUGCUGUCCUCUGCUCUGUGGUAUCCCGUGGACAACCAAAGGGGGACAUCACCACUGAACCCAGAGAGCGAGGCAUCCAGUCCCCCCACUGCGGAGCUGGGCCAAGCUGGAGGGAACAGUGGCCUUUCCUGCUGACCGUGCAUGGCCCACUGGUCCCCCAGAGAAGCUGCAGAGGAAAGCCCAGGCUGGCCAGCUCUGGGGUUGCCUACAGAGUCCAGUGCCCAGUGAUGCAGGGAAUCAAGUCGCUGGGGGCUCAGGGGCCAGCUCAAGCUAAGGAACCGGCACAGAAGUGAUGAGACGGCCUAGGACUUGGGUGGGACCAGAGCUGAUGUGUGGGGAAGGAAUCUUUGGGAAGCGUGCUGGCUAGAUUGAGGACUGAGGAAAAGAUUGCAAACCAGGCUCAAAAAAAUGAUGGACAUUUGCAGAAGCUAAGGCACCAAGAACAUAGCUGUUCAGUGGGAGCUCCAGUGACCGGUAUGCCUCGCCAUCUCUCCAAACCUCAUAAUCCCAACUGGUUUACUUCAUUGGGAUUUUGUGAGAUCAAAUGAGAUCACGGAUUUGAACAUCAUCUAUAACCCUAAAUGUACUCAUGUUGCCAAUAACCAUCAACAACAGGGAAAUCUCUCUCUGCGCUAAUUGCUGUCAGCAUCCAUCAGGAUCGCCGAGAGAGCAACAUCCCAGCCAGAGGGGCCUUGGGCUGGAGCUCCAUCACCAGGAGACGGCCUCCCUGGGAAGGCCCGGGGACCGGACGCCGCUGCAUCUGCUGGGCGUCUCCACCGGGAGGUGCCAAGGAGGCGCACACAGCCCCAGCCUGGGGGGCCAGCAGGCCCACCGACCCUACCUGGGAGCCCCUGGCUCUGGGGGAGCCCUGAGCAACCACGUGGGGGGCCCGGGGCGGCUGGGCUACGGGGCACCGGCUUCCAUCAGCCUCUUAGACCAGUCCCCGUUUAUCUCCUUUAGAUCUCAGGCCAGCCCCGAGAGGUUCUGUCAAAGGGGUUCUGCUGGAUUCAAAUAGAAAGGUUUGCAACACGGACCCCUAGUCCAACCCUCACCUUUCACAGGUGAACAGACACAGCCCUGAGGCGGGGUGGGGGUGUGUGAGGAGGGAGGCACCCCAGCCAGGGUCACACCUGGGAUGUGAGGACCCCGGGUCUCCCGAGAGUGUUUCUGUUCUGUUUGUGUUUUGGAUUUCUCACACCCCAGGCCCGGGUCAUAUUCCUAAACUUGUGCAAGCGCCCACUCCCUGGGUGUCAGUCUCAGAGACGGCGCAGGAGGGAGGCUGGGGGAGGGAACCAGCCUCCCCAGGGGCAGGGCAGCACGCGCUUGCAGGGCGACGUCCUUGGGAACGUGACGUGUAUAGUUAUUUAGUGAGUAUUUACCAAUCGCACAUCAGGUGCUGAGGGUACAGGACAGGACGAAACGAGGCGCAGGUCCUGCUCCGCGAGGGCUCGUGUCCAGGUGGGGAGGGUGAGGAAGCAGAGACGUGAACCUAGAAAGGAUACGGUUAUGGCUUAGUCUCGGGCAGCCAGAGGCAGACUACUGUGGCGGGGUGCGAUGGAGGCCAGGGCGGGGGUGUCUGAGCCGGGCCCCGGGAGGGGAAGUCGGGUGGUUCAAGGCCUGGGACAGAGGCCUCGGCAGCCCCUGGGGGAGCGUGCGGAGUCCACUGGUCUCUGCCUUCUAUGAUCGGAUUGUGGGAUCCGAACGGCAUCCUUUCUGCACCUGCUUCUGCCUUUCGUUUCCCCCUGUUUCCGUGGGGGGCGCUCCCCGCUUGGGUCAGAGGGUGCACUUCCACUGGGGUCGCGGUCACGGGACUUUACUCCUGUAUUCGGGUGACGGGUUUUCUAGUUUCUUCCACCCCUUCCUCGUCUGCGCUGGCUUCCAUGCUGUCUUCUGCUCUCCUUGGCGGGGUCCCUUCCCGUGUCCCUUCACUUGCUCGCCUCCCAUCUCCUCUGCUGUCUAUUCCCUUUGGGGGGAAGCCCCCCCUUCACCCUUGGCAGCUGCCUUGUCAGUCACCAUCGGCCUCCAGGCGGGCCCGGGGUGUCUCCCCUGCAUGUCCCUUUCUUUCUUAGGGACCAGCAGCCACACGGCUGGUUACUUGGGCUCCUUGAAGCUACUCUGGCUUCACUCCCACAACACUCUCCCGCUCUUCCCCCUCCGUCCCAGACUGUUCCCACUCCCUGUCCUCUGCUGGGUCCCCUCCCCUGCCCUGGGUCUAACUGUCCGACCACCCCAGGGCUCCAUGCUGGGUCCUCUUUCUUCCAUACCUACGCACUCUCCUUACGUGACCUCAUCACUUCCAUGGCUUUAAAUACCGUCCUCAUGAUAAUGACUUCCAAAUUUGUAUCUCCAGCACUAACAUCCUGACGCUGCACACUCAUACAUCCCGCUACUUGACAUCUCCACUUAGAUGACUAAUGGGCACCUCAGCUCAAUACGGCAGAAAGUCUCACUUUUCCACCUUAGCCCCAGAGCUGCUCCCCUCUCACUUCCCGUCAUUUUGGUGAAUGUCACCACCUUCUCCUGGUUGCUUGAGCCCAGGGCCCGGGAAUCACGUUCGGUUCAUCUGAGCACCCAGCCCACACGUGAGGCAGGCGGGCGCCCUCCUCAAGAGAGAUCCUGAGCCUGCCUGCUUCCCUCCAUCUCCCUGCUGCCACAAGGCCCCCAACCUCAAUCCCAGCCCUGACCCCACCAGCUCCCUUCGCUCCACUGGUCUCCAUCCUGCUUCUAUCACUUUGUAGGAUCUGAUCUCUUCUUUACAUGGCACCUGCGCCCUCUUUAGAAAAAUGGAACUCAGAUCUCAUCACUCACCAACUGAAGGACCUUUAAAAUCCCCAAUUGCACCAGCAUUUAAAUGAUUUGCUACACUUACCAAGUCUCCAGCUGAGCUGCCCCCCCCCACCUCUGCCUCUGACUUCAUCCCGCGUGGCACUUGCCUUCUCUCACAUAUUGCUCACU